rnacentral:rRNA from 1 species
UGGGGAAUUUUGGACAAUGGGGGAAACCCUGAUCCAGCCAUCCCGCGUGUGCGAUGAAGGCCUUCGGGUUGUAAAGCACUUUUGGCAGGAAAGAAACGUCAUGGGUUAAUACCCCGUGAAACUGACGGUACCUGCAGAAUAAGCACCGGCUAACUACGUGCCAGCAGCCGCGGUAAUACGUAGGGUGCAAGCGUUAAUCGGAAUUACUGGGCGUAAAGCGUGCGAAGGCGGUUCGGAAAGAAAGAAGUGAAAUCCCAGAGCUCAACUUUGGAACUGCAUUUUUAACUACCGAGCUAGAGUGAGUCAGAGGGAGGUGGAAUUCCGCGUGUAGCAGUGAAAUGCGUAGAUAUGCGGAGAAACACCGAUGGCGAAGGCAGCCUCCUGGGAUAACACUGACGCUCAUGCACGAAAGCGUGGGGAGCAAACAGG